rnacentral:lncRNA from 1 species
GUUCUUUUUUCCCACUGCCUACCCUACAGACAACUAAGAGAAAGUUGUGCAAUGUGCUGUGUGGUUGUGCUGUAAGGAAAACUGCACAGUGCAUCUGGUUGCUUGUGGACUAAGCAGAAAGGGAGACACUGUGCUGGGUAAUACUGUGCUGAUCUCCAGAGUCAGAGGCCAGCCCUUGUCCAAAUAGCAGCAUCUUUUCUGCUUCAUAUAAGGAGGGGAUGGAAGAAGGGGGCAGAUCAUGCCUGGUUGUGGACUUAUGAUGAAGCCAGGAUGUGGUUCUGAGUUCACUGCAUACAUCUGGACAUUCAAAUUUGAUAAAGACUGAAGGGCUAAUUCCUUUUUCUCUUCUCACUAUGGAAAUCACAUGGAAGCAGCAGGAGGAUUCCUAGCCUUGCACUAUUUCCUUCCCCUGUGAUCAUGAAGUUCUAUUGCUGCAUGAGCCCUGCUGCCUACCAUUUCAGAGAAGCUCAGCAAGAGAAUCCAAAGCUCAAGCUGGACUUCUGUUGCUGCUGGGGCAAGAACUUUCAGUGGAAUUCAAAACAGUCAGAAGCUAAGUAAGAAGCUGAGCAGAAUUUAUCAAUAACAAUCAACAGAAAGGGCAAGGGGAAGAUGUUUGGUUGGCUUUGUGUAGCUGCUGAGGAGACCUGCAUGGGAAGUGGGACCUUUCCCAGGAAUUGUGAGGCCACCUGCGACUUUAAACCUUCCUUCCUUCUACAAGUUAAAUGGUACCAUGAGGAUUCCAGUACUAGGAAUGCUGGUUAUGGCAUGCUGCCUAGGAGAUGGUGCCUGGGAGAGGAGGUGAGAGGUCCUUCUGUCAGAACCUAUAGGGAUGAGUAUGCCUUGCACUUCUUCUGAAGAAUUAUAGCCUGGGCACAUCAUGAACGAUGACACCAAAGUCUUGGUCACUGGUAGACACACACCUAUAAAUUCUAUGAUGUUUUACACCUGUGAUAAAUUCCAUUAGCUCACGUUUACAGGACUUCAGACAAAGCCAUUGUCCAAUUUCCAUGUGUUCUCCCUCUAGAGCUCAGCUGUUGUAUUAUAGUAACAUGUUUUGAAAAUGAACACACCAACAACCUUGUAUGGGGAAAUCAUUACAACUCACUCAUCUCUGAGUGCAUGUACACAACUCCUGGUAUGUCAUGAGGAGACCAGGUCAUGGAGGAUGAGUGAACUAAUAAAUAACAUAGGUAGAAAACCCUUUCA